rnacentral:rRNA from 1 species
UACGAAGGGGGCUAGCGUUGCUCGGAAUCACUGGGCGUAAAGGGUGCGUAGGCGGGUCUUUAAGUCAGGGGUGAAAUCCUGGAGCUCAACUCCAGAACUGCCUUUGAUACUGAGGAUCUUGAGUUCGGGAGAGGUGAGUGGAACUGCGAGUGUAGAGGUGAAAUUCGUAGAUAUUCGCAAGAACACCAGUGGCGAAGGCGGCUCACUGGACUGGUACUGACGCUGAGACGCGAAAGCGUGGGGAGCAAACAGG